AGUGAACGCUGGCGGUAGGCCUAACACAUGCAAGUCGAACGGCAGCACAGUAAGAGCUUGCUCUUACGGGUGGCGAGUGGCGGACGGGUGAGGAAUACAUCGGAAUCUACUUUUUCGUGGGGGAUGACGUAGGGAAACUUACGCUAAUACCGCAUGCGACCUACGGGUGAAAGCAGGGGAUCUUCGGACCUUGCGCGAUUGAAUGAGCCGAUGUCGGAUUAGCUAGUUGGCGGGGUAAAGGCCCACCAAGGCGACGAUCCGUAGCUGGUCUGAGAGGAUGAUCAGCCACACUGGAACUGAGACACGGUCCAGACUCCUACGGGAGGCAGCAGUGGGGAAUAUUGGACAAUGGGCGCAAGCCUGAUCCAGCCAUACCGCGUGGGUGAAGAAGGCCUUCGGGUUGUAAAGCCCUUUUGUUGGGAAAGAAAAGCAGCAGGUUAAUACCCCGCUGUUCUGACGGUACCCAAAGAAUAAGCACCGGCUAACUUCGUG
rnacentral:rRNA from 1 species